rnacentral:rRNA from 1 species
CUUCGGGGAGCAAGAGAAAGUCUUAGUGGCGGACGGGUGAGUAACGCGUGGGCAACCUGCCUCGCACCGUGGGAUAACAGGGGGAAGCUCCUGCUAAUACCGCAUAAAGUAUAUAGACGCAUGUCAAUAUACAAAAAGGGAUACCGGUGAGAGAUGGGCCCGCGUCCGAUUAGAUAGUUGGCAGGAUAGCAGCCUACCAAGUCAACGAUCGGUAGCCGGCUUGAGAGAGUGGACGGCCACACUGGGACUGAGACACGGCCCAGACUCCUACGGGAGGCAGCAGUGGGGAAUAUUGGACAAUGGGGGCAACCCUGAUCCAGCGACGCCGCGUGAGUGAAGAAGUAUCUCGGUACGUAAAGCUCUAUCAGCAGGGAAGAAAAAAGACGGUACCUGACUAAGAAGCCCCGGCUAACUACGUGCCAGCAGCCGCGGUAAUACGUAGGGGGCAAGCGUUAUCCGGAAUUACUGGGUGUAAAGGGAGCGUAGACGGCUAUGCAAGUCUGGAGUGAAAUGCCGGGGCUCAACCCCGGAGCUGCUCUGGAAACUGCGUGGCUUGAGUGUCGGAAGGGCAGGCGGAAUUCCCAGUGUAGCGGUGAAAUGCGUAGAUAUUGGGAGGAACACCGGCGGCGAAGGCGGCCUGCUGGACGACAACUGACGUUGAGGCUCGAAGGCGUGGGUAGCAAACAGGAUUAGAUACCCUGGUAGUCCACCCAGUAAACGAUGAAUACUAGGUGUCGGGGAGUUAAAUUUUCCGGUGCCGGCGCAAACGCAAUAAGUAUUCCACCUGGGGAGUACGUUCCCCAGAAUGAACUCAA